rnacentral:rRNA from 1 species
UACGGGGGGAGCAAGCGUUGUUCGGAUUUACUGGGCGUAAAGGGCGCGUAGGCGGUCAGCACAAGUCAGUUGUGAAAUCUCCGGGCUUAACUCGGAAAGGUCAACUGAUACUGUGCGACUAGAGUGCGGAAGGGGCAACUGGAAUUCUCGGUGUAGCGGUGAAAUGCGUAGAUAUCAGGAGGAACACCAAUGGCGAAGGCAGAUCUCUGGGCCGUAACUGACGCUGAGGCGCGAAAGCUAGGGGAGCAAACGGG